rnacentral:rRNA from 1 species
GACGAACGCUGGCGGCGUGCUUAACACAUGCAAGUCGAACGGAAAGGCCCUGCUUUUGUGGGGUGCUCGAGUGGCGAACGGGUGAGUAACACGUGAGUAACCUGCCCUUGACUUUGGGAUAACUUCAGGAAACUGGGGCUAAUACCGGAUAGGAGCUCCUGCUGCAUGGUGGGGGUUGGAAAGUUUCGGCGGUUGGGGAUGGACUCGCGGCUUAUCAGCUUGUUGGUGGGGUAGUGGCUUACCAAGGCUUUGACGGGUAGCCGGCCUGAGAGGGUGACCGGCACAAUGGGGACUGGGAAACGGCCCAGACUCCUACGGGAGGAAGCGGUGGGGAAUAUUGCACAAUGGGCGGAGGCCGGAGGCAGCAACGCGGGGUGGGGGAUGACGGCCUUCGGGUUGUAAACCGCUUUGGCCUGUGACGAGGCGUAAGGGACGGAAAUGGGUAAAGAAGCACCGGCUAACUACUG